GAUGAACGCUGGCGGCGUGCCUAAUACAUGCCAGUCGAGCGAACAGACGAGGAGCUUGCUCCUUUGACGUUAGCGGCGGACGGGUGAGUAACACGUGGGUAACCUACCUAUAAGACUGGGAUAACUUCGGGAAACCGGAGCUAAUACCGGAUAAUAUUUCGAACCGCAUGGUUCGAUAGUGAAAGAUGGCUUUGCUAUCACUUAUAGAUGGACCUGCGCCGUAUUAGCUAGUUGGUAAGGUAACGGCUUACCAAGGCAACGAUACGUAGCCGACCUGAGAGGGUGAUCGGCCACACUGGAACUGAGACACGGUCCAGACUCCUACGGGAGGCAGCAGUAGGGAAUCUUCCGCAAUGGGCGAAAGCCUGACGGAGCAACGCCGCGUGAGUGAUGAAGGUCUUCGGAUCGUAAAACUCUGUUAUUAGGGAAGAAUAAACGUGUAAGUAACUGUGCACGUCUUGACGGUACCUAAUCAGAAAGCCACGGCUAACUACGUG
rnacentral:rRNA from 1 species